GAUGAAGAACGCAGCGAAAUGCGAUAAGUAAUGUGAAUUGCAGAAUUCAGUGAAUCAUCGAGUCUUUGAACGCACAUUGCGCCCCCUGGUAUUCCGGGGGGCAUGCCUGUCCGAGCGUCAUUGCCGCCCUCAAGCACGGCUUGUGUGUUGGGCCCCCGCCCCCCGGCUUCGGGGGGCGGGCCCGAAAGGCAGCGGCGGCACCGCGUCCAGUCCUCGAGCGUAUGGGGCUUCGUCACCCGCUCUGUAGGCCCGGCCGGCGCCCGCCGGCGACCCCAAUCAAUCUUUCCAGGUUGACCUCGGAUCAGGUAGGGAUACCCGCUGAACUUAAGCAUAUCAAUAAGCGGAGGA
rnacentral:misc_RNA from 1 species